CAAACUACGGUGAAUACGUUCCCGGGUCUUGUACACACCGCCCGUCAAACCAUGAAAGUGACCAACACCCGAAGUCCGAUUCGUCGGCCUAAGGUGGGGGCAUGAGUUGGGGUU
rnacentral:rRNA from 1 species